rnacentral:sRNA from 1 species
UGGUAGAUGCACCCUGGUUAAGCCCUAGAGUAUUCUCUAGGGCAUUUUUUU